GAUGAACGCUGGCGGCGUGCCUAAUACAUGCAAGUCGAGCGAACAGAUGAGGAGCUUGCUCCUCUGACGUUAGCGGCGGACGGGUGAGUAACACGUGGAUAACCUACCUAUAAGACUGGGAUAACUUCGGGAAACCGGAGCUAAUACCGGAUAAUAUAUUGAACCGCAUGGUUCAAUAGUGAAAGACGGUUUUGCUGUCACUUAUAGAUGGAUCCGCGCCGCAUUAGCUAGUUGGUAAGGUAACGGCUUACCAAGGCGACGAUGCGUAGCCGACCUGAGAGGGUGAUCGGCCACACUGGAACUGAGACACGGUCCAGACUCCUACGGGAGGCAGCAGUAGGGAAUCUUCCGCAAUGGGCGAAAGCCUGACGGAGCAACGCCGCGUGAGUGAUGAAGGUCUUCGGAUCGUAAAACUCUGUUAUUAGGGAAGAACAAAUGUGUAAGUAACUAUGCACGUCUUGACGGUACCUAAUCAGAAAGCCAGGGCUAACUACGUG
rnacentral:rRNA from 1 species